UGUGUGGCUUUUCUUCUGAGAGAGAAUGAAGUUAUAUUAGUUCAGUUUAAAGCAAAGAGUUUUAAACUAAAAUGUGAAGUUUGUGACUAGCCAGGUCACUUACAGGUACUAAAUAAAUUUUAUUGAGACAGUUGAAUUCUGUUGUCAUGUUACAUGUUAGUUGAGCUGCUGUAACUGCUGGAACCAAGCUGUAUAUGCACUAUUAGCAACCUGCAUACUGUCUGUGAACAGGCUUUGCAACAUGCCCAGGGGACAGUGUGUUCAUGAGCCUUUGUGGUGAUUGAGCUCAUCAGGUUGGUCAUUCUCUGUGCUUCUAUCUGAGCUCCUGCCAUCUUUAAUUUUGUAAGCUGGUUGCAUAUGAAUUUUGCAAGAUACUUAUUAUGAUUUUGUGGUCUUUUUCCAUGAUAGCAUGUAAUCUUGCUUCCUGUGUGCCUAUUGCCACUUAAAACAUGCUACAAGCUUUGAAAGUCUCAUUGUAUCUUUAGACAUAGACAUCUAUAUCUAUUACAAGGUAUAAUAACAUCAGUUUGUUCAUUCAUAACCUUCAAAUGCAUAAGGAAUUGUAUAUAGAACACACCAGUGUCAGCCAGGAUCAAAUUUUUAGAAAGAAUUGUGGAACACGACCUCAGUUAUUCUUACUUUAUUUUUAUCAUUGCUUUAUGUCAUGUUGGGAUAAGAUUCAGUUUGUUAAUUAAUGAUUUGGUGAGUAAGAUAAACAUAGAAAAUAAAUUGUAUAUAUUAAAUAUACAUGAUGCACAGAGAGAACUAUAACAAUGUAAUUUGUACCAGCUUGCGUGCUCCUGAAUAAAUCUUAAAUUUCACUUAGGUGUAAAAUUCACAUUUUGAGGAGAUGAGGUAUAUGUAUGGAACAGACUGAAUAUACUCUGAAUUGCAUCACGGUUGAUUUUUUUUCAAAGUAUUUAAAUUUGAUUCUUUUUAAAACUGGGUAAUUUUAGACACAAAACUUACAGGAUUCUGAUAUGCAAAAUUAUAAUAACUCAUGAAUCUAAGAUAGUGAAUGACUAAUAGUAUAAGUAUACAGAAAAAAAAUCAGCAAGAUAUUUUGUGUUUCUGGGAUUUUUUGAGAUGAUGUUACCAAUGCCAAGUGUACAAGUCCCAAAGUUUAAAUCGUCAGUGGGAUGGUAAGUAUAAAGGCAGGUAUGACUGUCCAUUGAAGGAGGUAAGUAAUUUGAAAACCAAGUGAAAUAAUGAUAGGUUAUUAGGUAAACUUUUCAACAUACAGAAUAUAUGUGCAGAAUGAAAGUCAGUUCUGAAUAUAGCCUACAAAUCAGAUGUCUUUAAAAAUUUUCUUCAGGCAGACUAUGCACUAAUGCAUGUUUUACUGCUGGCUCCUAGGCCUAUGAGAAACCAAUAAAAACACCUUUCAUCCUCUUUCAUUUCCAGCUUGUACCAUACUUACCAAGGUCCUUUUGUGACCUGGUUUGGGAAUGACCUUGCUCUGCUACUUGUCUCAAGUUUUGUCAGUCCUGCAACAUACAAUGUUUCUGGUGUAUGUUACAGUUUUGGAGGUUCUUUCUGACUUCAACACCAUCUCCUAAGGCAAUGGUGUUUUCCUACUAUAUUGCAUCCCAUAUAAAGAAGUUUUAAACUUUAUCUUUAGUUGAACUUGCAGGGACAAGCUGAGGUCACAAAAACGGUGUUGUACCUACGGACCUCAUCACAGUGAAUUGUGAACCAGAUUGCAUUAUGUGAUGUCAGUGCACUCACAAAGAGACUGCAAAUGGUGAAAUACAAAGUAAAACCACAGUUUUUUACUUAAUGACAUUAUUUUAAUCACCUGCUACAGCACAAAGUUAAAUCCUAGUCUCUUCUAUUUUUAAUAUGCUCCUAAUAUCUUCUCUGAGAGGUAAGUGAGGUACUGGCUCUUUGUUUUCCUCCUGUUGAUUUUUCUAACAUUAAUUACAAGCUGAAACUAACAGUUUACAGAGUUAAAAAGCUUACUGCUCUUCAAUUUAAUUUUUUGCUGCCUUCUUAAGUUACUGAUAUUCUUUGGGAAAGUUAUGCUGAGGAGUCCAAAAAUUGCAUAGCAAAUAUGAUAUGUUUGCUCACAUUAGCGAAGAUUCUUCACAUUCAGUGCCUCUAUCUCACUUGCUUGGUUUAAUCACUUGACAGAGUCUUUGUCUAAAUUGUUUUCAGUCUCCUGAUCAUAACAGUGCCUUCUUUUUAGGCUAAGAUACUUAUCUUCUCCCCUGGGAUUGUGCUCCAUUUGAUCAGUAUUUUACAUGAUUCUGUAAAUUCACUGUCUGCCUAGCCCAAUCCAACUCUUUCCUUGCCUUUAUACUACAGCUACUUUUAUUUCUAGUUGUUCUGUUCUACUGGUGAAAAAUAUAGUUCCUCCUUUUUUUUUUUUUUUGUUUGUUUGCCUAUUUGCUGAUGGUCUCACAAUAUCAACAAGAUUAAGGCAGAAUCUGGUUUAACAUUGCAUUCUAGUAUUAUGUCUAGGUAGGUAGGAUCCAUCCAGUGAUUCCUUCUUUCUUUUGCCUUCAUGACUGAGAAACACUGCAAAAAUAUCAUUAAAGUUUCAAAGUUCAGUCUUAAAAAUUUAAUGUGAGUCACUGUAGUUGACUAUGCCACUUCUGCUUAAUUUGGCUGUGCAUAUGAGUUAUGACUGACUGUAACUACAGACUUGUAGUUCAUAAAAAUCUUCUGUAAUACUGUCAGCUGAAGAUGCUAGUUACUCAUUUUGUAAUUCAUAUAUACAGGUAAAAUAUGAAUGUUACAAAUUUUAAACCUGCCAUAAAGGCGUACUUGUCACUGAAACUACAAAAUGCCUCAGUAACCUAUUUAUGAAAUGGGGAUACUGAAUUGCAUUGAAGUUGAAUAUAUUUGUCCAAUAGAGGGACAGUUUUUUAACUCCUGCAUACUUUAUUUUCUAUUUUCUAUUAAAAAUAAAAAUGUUUUUCUAUGGCUGUUAAAAAUGUGGUAAAGGACUGCAGUCAGAAAUUUUACGCAAUCAUAUGAAAAUCCAGCUGCAGGAUUGCUCACCUUUGGAGCCAUUGUUAGAGCAAGAUCUGCUGAAAAGAAGCUGCAGCAUCCAGAACCCCUUCAAAGAUAUUCAUGGCACCUGAGUUCAACUGAUGUCAGUAGCAACAAUGGAGAAUAGAAAUCAGUCUGUUUGUGCAGUCAUCUCCCACGCUCACAAUGCUCCAGUUUCCCAUCAGGACAAAACUGGUGUUUGAUCUGGGGCUUAUCUUAAAGGAAACACUCUCUUCCUGAUUACAGAUGAUUUCUGUGAUGAAGACCCUACCUGUGGUGAUUAGCAAAUUUUGCCUGUCAAUCAUUGCCUUCUCUUAAAAAUUUUCCCAUUUUUUUCUGUUUUAAUAUUAAUUUGCUAUAUUGAGUACGCUUUUGGCUGCAUCCUGCUGCUGUCUCCUCUGCAGUAAUACUCUUUUCUUGAGAUGGAGAGAGUUUUUGAGGGAGUUAAUAGUCAGGCAUAUUUUGUCACCCUUAAAUCAUUUGUAAAUGAUUUCCAUCACCACAGCAGGCAAAAUUGAUAUUUUCAUGUCUUAUUUUGAUUUUUGAUUCUGGAAUGCUGUGUUUGCUGAUGAAAAAUGGAAUAGGCACCUCCAGCUGCAAAUUUUAGAGAGAAGAAUUAAUGGUUUCCUCUGGUUUUAAGCUGUUGUGAUUACACAGGUAUGAAGUUAGACUAAUGCAUUGUAGACUGAUGGUUUUUUUUAAUAUAUAAUGCACAUUUAGUCCUUUCCCAUCAUACAAAACUGAUAGUUAAUAUAUUAAAACUUUACAUAAAUGUUGCAAUACUUUCUUUAAGUGAAAAUUAUUCAUUUAUUUGACUGUUACUUAGUGUAUUUUGUCUAGUUGAUUAUUGAAAGAUGAGGGGAAGAGAUCUUCAAACUUUAAACAUGAGUAUUUUGAUUUUUGUUUUUUACAAUGAACUGAGGAAUAUUUGGUCUUCAGUGCAGGAACUAAGUAUGGCAGUUACUCUUUCAAGAAUUAAACUGAGUGAAAGGGUGGCCAUACUCAUUUUCUUCUAGGUUAUUAGCUUAGAACAACCAAAAAAAUAUAAGUGAAAGAACUGCAUUAGAAAAUUUCUUGCAUUGUGGAGUAUUUAUUUCCUCAAAAAAUUUAGUUGAGUGGAAAACAUUUUAAAAUAUGCUUUGUUGUCAGUGUGAUAUAUACUACUGUAAUAAUAUGAGAAAAAGAUUUCCUGAAGAGGUCUUUCAUAUCCCAUUGUCUCUUCACUGUUCAUAACAGUUCCAGUUAGGAUAGUAUUAAUGGCUUAAAUUUCAUAAACAGCUCUUUCAGUUAUUCCAGGAAAUAUUUCAUUUUUCAAGUGGAACUAUUCCUCUGAAAUUAGGGGGAAGAUAACUGAAGCGAAUGGGUUAAUAUCUGAGAUAAAAUGACAAAAUUCGGAUUUCAUUUGUUAAAAUAAGAUGUAAUUUCUCUACUUUUGUAAUUGUUGCAUGUGGGACAUUAUAGUCCCUUCCUAAGAUUGGAAGGGACUACAUUGGGCAGAGACAUUAAGUUGUUCAUUUGCUGCAAGCAGCAAAAUUAUGUAGUGCACUUUUUCAGUUUGUCAGGCUUCAUUUUUAAGGUAUAGUUUUUGCUCACAAUGGAGCUAUUCAAGCAUAAUUCCUUUUUUCUUGAGCUGUGAGAAAUCUAAUUCCUCAAGAAUAGGCUGAAGGUUUUCACCCCCCUUUUAUGCAGUCUUCGACAGUGUUAGUUACUCAUUCUUAACACUAAAAUAGUAGGCGUUUAGACUUCGUAAUCUUAAGAUGUCAAUAUUUACUUUUAACUAUGAAUUGAGGUAGCCUGUUAAGUAGGGAGCCUUGAUGUAGUGAAGCUGAACUUACCUCCAGAGUAGGUGCUGUGUGUAAACUGAAGAUACACCGCAUUUAGUAGAAAUAGAUGGGGAGACUGUAACUGUGAAAAAUACUGCUGUACGCUUGUGCAUUAUUAUGGUGAUUUUAAUAGAAAGAGCUUCAAGCGUGUCAAUUUCUUUCUCAGGCUAUGAAAAGCUUACUCUGAUGUUCAGUAACACUGAAGUUAUUACAAAUACCAGAUCAUUUUGAACUAAAUGGUCUCUCAAAAUAAGGAUUAAAUUAUUUGAAAAUAAAUGGGUGAAUCUGUAUAGCAGUGGAGCAUGACACUAAUUUCUGUAUUGCUGUAACUGACCUACUUUGUCUGCAGUAGUUUGUUAGGCUUGAGCCUAAUGGAAGACUGUUUUCUGUGGUACCUGUAAAAAAAAUGAGCCAGUAAGAAGUUAUUGGCAUUCUGUUUCUUUUAUGCAGUUUUUAAAAAUCUCAGAAAAAUUGAAGUCAAUUUCACUAGUUCAGCAUGUCCUCAAAUUAAUCAGACUGCCUGAGAAUGGAAGUAACAAUAGAUGUACUUAAACUACCCUGAAGUCAGUCUUUGAGUAUAGACAUAAAGUCAGGAGACCUGGAUAUUAUUUCUUAGCUAUGCAAGUCUACAGAAGCAUUCUGUGCCAUAGAAGGGUGCUGGCAACCAAGAACAGGGGUGUUUAUGUUAAUCAAGUCUUUCAGCAUCACCAGUACCAGGAGGGGUUGACCCCACAAGGAGAGCCUACAAGAGACCUGGAGAAGAACUUUUUACAUGGGCAUGUAGUGAUAGAAUGAAGGGAAGCUGCUAAAAACUGAGAAAGGGCAGGUUUAGUUUAGAUAUUAGGAAGAAGUUCUUUACUGUGAGGGUGGUGAGGCACAGCAGUAUGUGGCCAGAGGAGCUGUGGAUGCCCCAUCCCUCAAAGUGUUUGAAGCCAGGCUGGAUGUGGUUUUGCAUAACCUGGUCUAGUGGAAGGUGUCCAUGUGUGUGGAGGAGAGGGGAGUUAGAGCUAGAUGAUUUUCAAGAUUCCUUCCAACACAAACCAUUCUAUGAUUAGAAGCACUUAGCUUUCUGCCAAGAUUUGAAUUUGCAGAAGGAAUGGUAGGAUUUAUUUUCAUUUGUGCUCAUGUUACUGGCUUUUAGUUCUGACUGUGGGCUACAAGCUCAGUUUGUUUUAAAAUUCUCCUCAAUCAGGUUAGAAGGCUUUAGCAGUUCCUUAGCAACUUUGUGGUCAUGAAAAUAUUUUUCUACCUAAAAAUGCACAUGUUGGGGUGUUUUGUUGCUUGAAAAAUGUUCAAGCAGACAAACUAAAUGGCAGCCCAUUGACAGUGGAAGAGAUACUGAAUUGAAAUGAUACUGUUAAAAAAACUGUAUUAUACAGCUGAUUUUCAAAGAUUACUAUUGUAUGUAAUGUUAUCACUUUUAUUUACCAAUUACUUUUAAGCUAUACUGAAAACAUUUGUUGUGGUACUAGUAGUAGACUUCUACAAAUUGGAUGUUAGUUUGCCUAUGCUAUAUGUUCCUUUCCCAUACAGGGCUGUAAUAACCUUUUUUCCUUCAUAAGCAUAAAACUACAGGACAUUUGCUGCCAGUUUAGAAUUGCUUCUGCAUUCUCUCCCCACCAGGCUUGUUAAGGCGUUCAGUCCAGAAUUGUGUUUUUCUCCCUUUUUAGGUAUUAAGAUGAAACACUGGUUUUGAGCAUUCUUCUUGCUCUUUGCUAACUGCUAAUCAGCAUUUAUUGCUCUGCCAGUAGAAAUGCUCCUGAUCAUUUGCUUGCCAGAAAGGCUAAUACUGGAUAUGACAGGACCUUUAUACUGUUUUCCUGUAGGCUAAUACUGGAUAUGACAGGACCUUUCCUGUUUUCCUGUAUCUCUAGUGGUUUGUUAAGUAGCAUUUAACCUGUAAUGCUGAUUAAUUGUCCACCUAUUUUGAAUCAAGUAUAUUUUCUGAAUAUAACAUUUUAUUCUAUUUAGUGAAAACUAGGUGUUCUGAAAGCAGCAAAUCUUGCCAAGAAAAGGGAGAGCAAGAACCUGAACAAAAAAAAUUAGAUCUUCAUAACAGGUUAAAUUU